UGGAGGCAGCAGUGGGGAAUUUUGGACAAUGGGGGCAACCCUGAUCCAGCCAUUCCGCGUGAGUGAAGAAGGCCUUCGGGUUGUAAAGCUCUUUCAGCAGGAACGAAACGGUGGCCCCUAAUACGAGCUACUAAUGACGGUACCUGAAGAAGAAGCACCGGCUAACUACGUGCCAGCAGCCGCGGUAAUACGUAGGGUACGAGCGUUAAUCGGAAUUACUGGGCGUAAAGCGUGCGCAGGCGGUUCCAUAAGACAGAUGUGAAAUCCCCGGGCUUAACCUGGGAACUGCGUUUGUGACUGUGGGACUUGAGUGUGGCAGAGGGGGGUGGAAUUCCACGUGUAGCAGUGAAAUGCGUAGAGAUGUGGAGGAACACCGAUGGCGAAGGCAGCCCCCUGGGUCAACACUGACGCUCAUGCACGAAAGCGUGGGGAGCAAACAGGAUUAGAAACCCUAGUAGUCC
rnacentral:rRNA from 1 species